UUCAACUUGCCCCGGUGUACCUUACUCGAUUUGUGGAAAUUGCAUUCGAAGAUAUUGGCGGCAUGGACAACAUUUUGCGCGAGUUGUGCGAGCUGUUGCACCAUGGCAAGCAUCCUUUCACAUGGUCCUCCCGGUUCUGGACAGACGUAGCUUGCUCAUACCAUCGCUGAGAAACUGAUAACCGUUCUGGUAGAAAUCCCUGCUACAUACACUCAGGCAAAUAAACCUAAGAUUAUCAUAAGGUCUAACUUAUGAAAUGGCCUUUAAACAAUUCAUAACGGCUAGAACGAUUUUCAUAAGGUCGGUCUAUAACGCAGAAUCGACUCACAGUUUGGCUUUUAUACACAUUUAGCAACACGAUAUUCUCAAGCGUCGAUAGCCGCGUGGGUUGGGCACGAGCUCAGUGAUCUCGACGUUCAUGUAUCGAUUCCAGUCUGCAUCAGUUUGUGAUUUUUCUGCCCUUUUCAUACGUUUAUCUUAUGUAAUUAGGUCAUAAUAUGCAUGUUCAAUAUUCAUAAGGUAUUCUUAUGGUAUCCAUACUUUACAGUUAUGGCUAAAUUUCACAAGGUAUUUUGAAGAAUUUCGGUAGUUUACUUCGCUGAGUGUAGCUGGUAGCAAAAGUUUCCGGUGAAUCUAAGAGAAGUAUCCACGAGGUUUUCGAACAGGCAGAGGACCUUUCACCACAGACAAACAGACGUAACACUUGCGAAAUUUCCAUCGACCACGCUUUUAACGUUGAACUUUUCGUCAUUGAAAUCAUCGUCAUCAUCAAACAUUUGAAAGCAGUUUUUUCGUUCAAAACAAAAGUUUAUGCUAUGAAAAUAUAUUCACUGUACUCCACAUGAGGAAUAUAAUGCAGUGAAUAUAUUUUCAUGAUCCUUGUUUUGAUGUGCAGCGAGAAAACUGCUUUUUAUUUUCCGAAAAAUGAUGACGGAUGCUUGAGCCUUAACGAUCAUUUUAAAUUUUUAUACUUUUCGCUUUCACAACCAGAGGCGCGCGCAUUGUUUUUCUAUGCGUUUGACGUUUCACACUAGCGCCUUCUGUUGACGAUAUUGCACAACGCAGUGAUUCGUGCAACUUUUCCACCAGGGGAUGGUAGUGUGAACUGGGCGAUGGAUUUCCAUGAAAAUCGUUCUAGGUGUUACGUCUGUUUGUCUGUGCUUUCACCAUGCUAGAGUAAUUGUUGAUUGACGAAAUCGAUGCCAUCUCGGUCAACCAAGUCAACAAUGCUCAACAGGACAUGGAACGGGACUACUACGAAAGGCCGAAUCACAAAAGGCCGAAGGCACGAAAGGCCGAAGGUAACAAAAGGCCGAAUUACGAAAGGCCGAAGGGAACGAAAGGCCGAAGGUAACAAAAGGCCGAAGGUAACGAAAAGCCGAAUGUAACGAAAGGCCGAAUGAAACGAAAGGCCGAAUUACAAAAGUAGUCAUUUUAUUACUUAACCCUCUCCUUUUCAUUGCUUUUCACAAUUAAAUCUAUAACAAAAAAAAAACAUUAAAGCAAAUAAAUGUCGUUCAACAUCAAUUAAUUUUACUUAAAUCUUUUUGGAAGUUGGAACUAUUGUCUACAAAUGAGACAUGUAUAGUGAUAUUACAGAACAUGGCAUAAUAUGCUUAUAACGGCAGCACAUAGUGAUAGAAAGGGCAAAUAGCUGGCCGAAAAACUACGUUUGCUAUAUAUCGGGGAAACGCUUGCUGUCCGCACUCGCUAACGCUCGUCGGACCUAAAAAAAGAUAACAACUUAUGUUCGCAUUAUACGCAGCAUACUAUUGGAACUACUGUUUUGCUGGAAUUCGAAUCGAUGCAAUUACGGUGCAUCAGUUAUCGGAUACUUCGGCGGCCUUCUGCCGCCUCAGUUCCUCAAUCCUCCAUACGGCUACGCCGCAUGAUUCACAUUGAUGUGCAUUUUACGUUGGAAUGGAACUACUAAAAAUUUACAACUAUUCAAUUUGAGGUUAUAAACUACUUAAACAACCCUUAUAUACAUUCUUUCAAUUGAUAGAGCAAUUAACUAAACGGAAACCGAGUUAAUAGUUAAUAGUCUUUCGUAUUUCGGCCUUUCGUUACUUUCGGCCUUUUGUUACAUUCGGCCUUUCGUUACCUUCGGCCUUUCUUUAUAUUCGGCCUUUCGUAAUUCGGCCUUUUAUGCUUUCGGCCUUUUGUGGUAGUUACACUGGUUUCGCCCUUUGGUGAUUCGGCCUUUCGUGGUUCGGCCUUUCGAGUUUCGGCCUUUUGUGUUAAUCCCCAUGGAACGUCGCAUUAUGUAUCAGUUGCUGACCAGAGCGGAACAAUUUGCACAAGCUGAAGGGCAGCGACAGUGUGAUAGUUAUUGGAGACACAAACUGCCCGAUCAGAAAGGCAUAACAAAAAUGUAACAAAUUUAUAUCAACGGUUGAUAAAUAUAUUCAACGUCUGUUAGGUAUAUUUAGAUAUAUUUGACAAAAAAGUAUUUAAAAACCUGAUUUAAUUAUAUCAGAAUUAUAACAAGGUCAGUUAUAAUACAAAUAAAUUCAUUUUGAUCAUCUUUAUAUGAGCAUUAUAACAAACUCAGCUAUAAUUUUGAAAAUGCAGUUUAUGUCAAAUGAACAUUUUACAGGUGAUGUAUGGUACACAAUUACGCCGCUGUGUGGUGCUACUGUGCUUGUAAAAUACAGUAGUUUUGACAAGUUUGAAUAUUGAUACAGACCUUUAAGAAAAUACUGAACUUUCUUAACCUUCACGUACUUGACCCCCGAUUAAAUUUAUUUAUUGGCAUACUUGUAGAUUGAGGGUUAUCCCUUAUUGAAAGUUCACAAUCAAUUUCUUGAUUAUCUCACGGUGUGUCUGGUGGAAGAAAUUUAUUACAAAAAAAUAGGCAUCGCUAAUUUUAACGCUACGCGAAAGUUGACGCUACCAGCUUUCAUUCAAGCCUAACAUCGAAAUAUUCCAUCGGGGGAACUUUUUCAUACAAAAAUUGGGUAUGUUUGUUAAGUAGAAAUAGGGAUAAAUUUGGAACCGUUCAUUUUGUAUGGGAAAAAACAGUAUUCUGAAAAAGUUGUUCGGGAUCCCUCGGUGGAUUUUUUUGAGGGACCCUGCAAAUGAAAGCUGAAAGCCUCUAUUUUUGAAUAGCAAAAAAAUUGACGAUGCCUAUUUUUUUGUUAUAAACUUUUCCCAUACACACGCCGUGAUCUAGGUUCAAAUUCACUAACACAAAUUGAAAUUCAAACCUUAAAUAAACUAAUGCAGUAUUGACAUGUUUGAAUCAUCCAUGAUCCAAACCUUUAAGAAAGCUCAGAUAGUCACACUUGUCUUGGAUUCUCAGCCAGCUGCGUUCGAAACGCGCAGCAUCAGAUCGCGCCAGACCGCGCACGUAUGGUUUGUACACGGUGUGCACCUUGGCUAAAACUGUUUUUGUAGCCGCCGGGUAGAAGCUGUCACGUAUAAUCAGACACCUUGUACAAAUCAAACGGGCGCAAACGCGGCUGGUUAACCCCUUAUAAGGCCAAGAAAACUAGAAGAGUUGUCAACGUAUACUAUUAUGGAAAUGAUUAUAUACAUGAUUAUGUGUACAAAACAAUUUUUGUUUGAAAGAAACUCUCAAAAAUCUAGGUGGCAAUAUAGUUGCCACUGCCCGUUCAACCCAAAAACACUGGUGGCAAUAUAGUUGCCACUGCCCGUUUAGGCCACCAGCGCUGGUGGCAAUAUUCUUGCCACUGCCCGUUAAGGGUACUUUUCUUCUUUUGACUUCGACAAAAAACCGGGAAAGAGAUUUUAGAGUGGAUUAGGGUUUAACCCACAAUAUAAACUGCGUAGUUCAGCUCAUGUCAUCCCAUAAUUUGAUUAUUUCUUAAAAUAUUUACCAAAUCUAUAAUUUUACAAUAAGUUUGAGCUAAUUUUCUUCACGCGGUGAAAUUAAGCCAUUUUUGAGACUACAAAUGGCUCCCAAAUUGUUGUAAAAGCUAUGUUUAGUACCAAAAAAUACCAGGCGUUGUUAAUAGUCCCAAUUUUGCGUAAACCAAAAAAAAGUUCUAAAUAAAUUGUUAUACGCAGCACGCGAGCACGAUUCGCGUCCUUGAUCAAACGUUAGCUUUGAUACGGAAUGCCCGAGAGCGACCCUGGCCAUCGCCUGGUACUCUCGGGACGUUUGGAAAACCUCGGCCUUCUUUUUGAUCGGAUGUGCUACUGCGUAGUGGGUCUGGGUACAGUCAACCGAGAACCAUGGCACAAAUGUCCCAAGUGGAGGAUAACGUGCCUCUGGCGCCGGCCUUCUGAUACACAUCGGAGUGCACUCACUCUAAAGGCCUUCCAGCAUGGACUCUUGUACCCGCGAAUGGUUCUCGGCACUGCUUUCUGAGAACACAAACGUCACAAAAAUGUAAUUUGUCUAGCUUCUAUUGAAUACCUGAUCUGAUACCAUUAUGUGCUUAACGAGUGCUUGUAUGUUAUUUUUCUCAAAUGGUCAAGUCGACGAUACCACAGGCUACCGUUCGCUGCUCCACACAUGUUGGCCGCCAUGAUACUGAUUGAAAAAAUAAAGCUAGUAGAAGUUACCCGGCAUUGGACAUUUUCCGGUUAGCUCACUGCUGAACUUCAUCAUAGUUUUCUUCUUCAUGACGUCAUGACGUUUUCGUUCGCUUUUGCCAUACUUUUAUCUGUGAAAGGAGAUUUGCUGGCAGUAGAGGCACCAAAAACCACAUCCUGCAGGGUAAUGCUCGUACCUUCCUUGUUGGCGCCCUUUAUCGUACGGCGAUGCUACGAAGUUAACCCUUUAACGCUUAUGGUGUCUGUAGAGCACCAUCACUUUUUGGCGAAUCCGACCUAAACCAGUUCACUUCAAUAUGUUAUAAAAGCGUUUGGGAAGAGGUUAUAAGCUUAUUAGAGCACUUGUACACUCUAAUUAUUGGUUCAAUCGUGAAACUAUUGAUAAACAAUCAAUAACUAUUAAUAAACAAUUAAAAACUUUUUUUACGAUUUCGAUAAAUUUAAGUGAUCCCUAACAACUUUUGUUCGAGCACUUUUUGUUCAUAGUAUUUUUUAGCAUUCAAAAGUUUGAAAGAAGUCGUGGGCGACAAGGGGUUAAGGAUUGACCAUCCUUAGCUGCGUUCACACCAAAUUUUUUGAAACGCUUCCAGCACAAAAAAAAAAUCAGCAAAAAAAUUGCUGAAUUUCAGCAAAAUUUUCGCUGAAUUUCAGCACAACGUUGCUGAUCAACUGUCUAAAUUGCUGAAAGAUUCAGCAAGCUGAAAAAUAAUUGCUGAUAUUCAGUAAAUUCGUAUUGCUGAAUGAAAUCAGCACAAAAAAGUCAGCAAAGUUUGCUGCAUACCAGCAAACAAAAUUUGCAGUGUUGAUGAUUCAGCUUCGUGAAAUCAACGUAACGCAGUUCUUUAUAUUGACAAGAUGGUCCGUGGCACCAGAAUCUUGCUUGAAAGGCAUCGAUCCCUCAUCCUGCUCGACACCUUCCUAUCUUGAAUACCACUACUUUACCUCCAAAUGCAGCAUUUGCUUCAGAUCGUCUUUCCGGCUUCAAUGUCACGUGACAGUUCUUGGCGUUGUGCCUUUUCUUCUAAAAAUGGUUGCGCUUACCAGUAAGUUUCGACUUCUGCUUCGAACCUUGAAAUGUUCGGAUCGGACAGCCGGUUGGUUUUCUAAAGUUCUUCAGCAAAGGCACUCUCAAACAACAUCCAUCUUCAGGUUUUCUUCUCCAAAGAAAAAUAAGUUUAACGAUACAACAAUUCUAAGCUUAUUUGAUGUUGCUUCCAUAAGAGCUUGAUAACGAAUGAACUCGCUGCUACGGAGCUACUGCUUUUAUACCUUCCUUCACAAGAACCUUGACAAGAACUUGAUGAAAUCGGUGAUUCCAUGAACGUGCUGCUUGUUUUAGGACAUACAUACUUUUCUUCAAACGGCACGGCACACCUUAUCCUCUUGUCCGCGAACCCUGGAGGCUGCAUCAUAAAAAUCUCAUCCUUAAGGUUGCCGUUGAGUAUCAUUCCCCGAUUUGCUGCUACUGACAUUAGGGUCCUGAACGUUGUCUGUCGAACUUCGAGGGCGAAAACUUCAUCAUAAUCAGUUCCGUAGCGCUGAUUGAAUCCUUCGGCCACCGUGCUUUGUAGAACCAUUUGCAACCGAUUCGACUUUCCUGCGGGUAAAUCAACUAGAUCCGAAGUAUUGUUUUCUUUCAUCGCGUCUAGCUCUUCCAUCGUCGCGUUCUGCCACUUGAUUUUAUUUGUGGAAUCCAACGACUUUUUGAGAUUCCUUGGUUCUCAUUCUUCCAAUUCGGCUGUUACACGCAUACCAUUUUGGGAGCUGUCCACGAUUGGUCCUCAUUGAUCGACGCAAAGCAUUUUCAUUCUCGACAUCAUUCGGAUCAUUUUCGUGAUUGCUUUCAGUUCCGCUCGGAAUACUUCCGGCGUCAUCCCAAAUUUCAGCUUCAUCAGAGUCAUCAUCAUCAUUCGUACAAACGACACCAGACUUGUCCGCACGAUCGCUCAUUAAAGGAACAACUACUUCACCAUUUGUUUGCUGCGCUUCAAAAUGGGUUCCACUUGCUGUUAAUGAUAUGUGGCAAUAUGUUACAUGCACUGUCUUCAUUAUAGGCAUAUGGAAAGCAUCAAAACCAUUAUUUGGGGUAUUGUUCGAGAGAAACAAAAUCUUUUCGAAAUUAGACCUCCUGAGAUACCUGAGAUAUAAGAAAGCAUUUAGACGUCAACGAAUGUUUUUUUUUGCAAUACGGUAAAUCCAAAAGACUAAAUAUUGAUUUGUUUUGAAUCACAAGUAUUUCUAUGAUGAAAUGCACUCGUUCUCAACUAUAAUGACGCACACAUCCAGGAAAGUAUUUCUCCGGUCUCGUACGAUUUCAACCAGGCGAACCACCCAGGCAUAGCUGACUUUCUUGGUUCAAUAGACUGGCUUGACGUUCUGGAUUUGAACGGUGUGGAAAAUGCUGCUCUAACACUUUCGCAUAUCAUGGGACAUGCAAUUGAAAGAUAUGUACCAAAAAUAAAUCAUUCCUCCUGUGGCCCACCUUGGCAAACUCAAGAGCUCCGCAGAAUGAAGACUUCAAAACGUGCAGCCCUUAGACUGUAUUCCAAACGCCGAACGCUGCUUCUCCGUGACCAUUCCUUUAGGGUGAACAACGAACAUAAGAAUACUAGCUGUUCGCUCACGAAGCGAAGUUUCCAGUUUCUGCCGGUGAUAUGUUUUCCUCAUAUCGACGCCGACAACAGCGAGACCAAAUUCCAGCAUCAUGCGAGCGAAGCGAGACGAGGACGCGAAGAACACGCUGCGACAUGUUCGCAUCUCAGCGUCUAUCAGGGCACCGACCAAUGCGAGCGAGGCUCGCGCUGAUUGGUGGAUGGUGUGUUUUGGGAAUGCUGGGGUGGGAUAUAUAAGUGAUCGCAUUUGCUCGAAGAGCAAUCAGUCUUUGUAAAGUAGUGAUCAAAUAAACAUCGUUAAAGUGAAACGACUCUUUUCCUUGGACAGCCGAACAAUCAGCCUUUUACAAGGCUAACCACUUGAGAGUUAUUCGAAAUCGUCGAGCUAUCGUCUGCAGCUUUGUUCCUGCGGCCCUCUUCAGUGGGAAGAGCCGGCCAUCCCUCCGUCCAGUGUCCGUGAUCGGACAUUUUGGUCCAGUCGACCCGGAUCCACGAGCGAUCCGUUUUGGUGUUGCACCCGCAACGUACGCGUGUCGUCAAUCUGACGAUUGAGGCACCACCCCGCAUACAGUCCGCUACCCAGUCGCCAAUCUGACGAUUGCGACAAACCCGUUCUGCUGAGACGAUAGCUGGCGCAGUUAUUCAGAGUUGGUUUUCCUCUGGCUGUCCAAGUGUUUACAGUGAGUACUCCGUGUACUAGUGAAACGAAGUAAAUCGCGCGCGGGUGGAAGUUCAGUCCGAUUCGUAAAAGCGAAAGUGAGUCGCGCGCGAGUGGUCGAAGUUUCGGCGUGAACGCCGACAGUGAGAGUGUGUUUCGCUGACGUGUCCGAACACGUUCAAUUCCUGCGUGGUGCGAGAGGCGCAUCACAGUUCCGGUUCAGGUGAACCAGUCAUCGCGCGCGAGAGUUCCCAGAUGCCAAGAGAGUGAAAGCACCUGAACGUGUCUGAACACGUUUCGUUCCGAUGUGGAGAGGAGUGUAACAUUGAAUCUGUUGAGAGAUCCGUAUCCAGUGAAUCAAAAUCACAGUGCGAGAUAGAGAAUCCGAACCUGUCGUGGAACUGAUGAUUCCAACAAGAACAUUUGCUGUGAUCAGUUAAGUGAAAUGCAUUGUCAGUGCGGAAGUGAAUUUUAGACAUGGCCGAACAAGUUGAACUUUUGUUACAAAUUAGUGAGAUUGAAGUGAAGCUGACGUGCAUCGAAGAGGCCCUCAGCAACAUCUGUUUUGAUUCAGAGAAAACUGAGGUGUUUAUGCAAUUCCUCAAGCAUCAAGUGGAAGAAUGUGGACAUGAAUAUGAAGAAGUUGAUUCCCUACUGAUGCUUCACAGAGCAGAGCCAGAAUAUGCUGAGCUUUUCGUGGAGUGUGAGUUGUUGAAAGUCCAACAUUCUGAUGUAAGUAUACUGAUGGAGAAGUUGAGCGUGUCUGCUGCUGCAUCUGGUAAGCCUGUAUGUGAACAACUGCCAGCUGAUGUGGAAACCCGAUCUUUGACAUCGUCGGUGAAGCAGCCCAUUCCAGCUUCAGCAACGAAACUAAAUUCAUCGACAUCGAUUCUUGUACCGUUGGGUGAUCAGCCGUUUAAUCAACCAUUAAAACCAGUGGAAGUGGUAAUUUCUCCUGAUGAAGCUGCAGUCUUUUUGGAAAAGUAUUCCGCAAUCGAGGAGCAAUGUCAGCCUUACGAGAGGACCCUUAUCGUAACCGGGAACAAAGAUCCACACAAACUCGAACAAGUCAUCCUACAGAAAGUGAAGAUGCUCGAUAUAACUGCUUCUGCAUUGAUGAUGAUCCUGCUGAACGAAUCGGAUCAACCGCCGAAGCCUCCCGACCCUAAUGUAAGGAUAUCUCAUCUGACUGUGAAGCCGAGGAAGCCACCUGACGAGCUAUCACUAAGCACUUUUAUCGUUGAACGUCAACCGCAACAUAAAGAACUUUAUUCUUUGCCGGGGAGUAUGUUCGCUCACGAAGCGAAGUUUCCAGUUUCUGCCGGUGAUAUGUUUUCCUCACAUCGACGCCGACAACAGUGAGACCAAAUUCCAGCAUCAUGCGAGCGAAGCGAGACGAGGACGCGAAGAACACGCUGCGACAUGUUCGCAUCUCAGCGUCUAUCAGGGCACCGACCAAUGCGAGCGAGGCUCGCGCUGAUUGGUGGAUGGUGUGUUUUGGGAAUGCUGGGGUGGGAUAUAUAAGUGAUCGCAUUUGCUCGAAGAGCAAUCAGUCUUUGUAAAGUAGUGAUCAAAUAAACAUCGUUAAAGUGAAACGACUCUUUUCCUUGGACAGCCGAACAAUCAGCCUUUUACAAGGCUAACCACUUGAGAGUUAUUCGAAGUCGUCGAGCUAUCGUCUGCAGCUUUGUUCCUGCGGCCCUCUUCAGUGGGAAGAGCCGGCCAUCCCUCCGUCCAGUGUCCGUGAUCGGACACUAGCAGGCAACUGUUUUAGAAGAUAUCAGCUACACAUCCAACGAAAACUGAAGUCGAAACCCAAAGCGUUCUGGCGAUAUGUGAAUCAACAACGAAAGGAGUCCGGGUUGCCUUCCACAAUGAUGCUUGAAGGUCGAGUGGCCUCUAAUAGAAACGAUGUGUGUCGUCUUUUCGCCAGUAAAUUUGCUAGUGUGUUCAGCGAGGAGGUUUUACCCGAAGAGCAUGUAGCGCUGGCCGCUAGUAAUGUUCCACUGAACGGUGAUGUACUAAUCACGAUUGGUGUUGAUGAUAUAACGAUUGUGAGAGCAGCCAGACAAUUGAAAUCAUCGACCAAUCCAGGGCCCGACGGUGUUCCAUCAUCUUUCCUAAAAACGCAUAUUGACGAAUUAGUCGACCCUAUCCCGUUGGUGUUUUCUUUGUCCCUAACUAGCGGAAUUUUACCGUCAAUCUGGAAGAAGGCAAUCGUGUUUCCCGUUCACAAAAAAGGCGAUCGAAAGGAUGUCAAUAAUUGCCGAGGAAUAUCAUGUCUCUGCGCCAUCUCGAAACUAUUCGAGCUUAUUGUUAUGGACCCGCUGAUGUCUCAUUGCAAGCCGUACAUCAGUGAAAAUCAACAUGGUUACAUCUCGGGUAGAUCCACUACCACCAAUCUCUUGAACCUUACAUCUCACAUUACGGACAGCAUGGCUGAACAAGCCCAAACAGAUGUGGUCUAUUCGGAUUUGAGCGCUGCAUUUGGCAAGAUUAACCAUGAUGUGACGAUCGCUAAACUCGAAAGACUUGGGAUCGGCGGCCAGACACUACGCUGGCUCUACUCCUACCUGACAGAAUGCGCUUACUGACGGUUGGACUUGAUGGGCAUAUCUCGGAAACUUUCAAGGCUACUUCUGUAAUACCGCAAGGAAGUCAUCUGGGUCCCCUAAUUUCCCUGCUGUAUUUCGACGAUGUCAACUACGUUAUCAAAGGCCCACGAUUAGCUUCGCAGACGAUUUGAAAAUGUUCCUGCGCAUCCGUUCUAUCUGUGAUGUUGAUUUGAAUGCCUUCGCGAACUGGUGCAGUUUGAAUCGUAUGGUAGUUAACCCUGAAAAAUGCACCGUUAUUUCGUUCUCUCGGAGAAAACAGCCAAUCCUGUUUAACUAUCAGUUACACGGGACAGAACUUCAACGAGCUGACCAUGUGAAAGACUUAGGUGUAAUUCUGGACGUUCAGCUGACUUUCAAACACCAUUUGUCGUAUGUUAUCGCGAAGGCUUCUAGGACUCUAGGAUUCAUCUUCCGUAUUGCCAAGGAC